AGAGAUAGAGCUUCUCCUUCGGGAGCAGAGUGACAGGUGGUGCAUGGUUGUCGUCAGCUCGUGUCGUGAGAUGUUGGGUUAAGUCCCGCAACGAGCGCAACCCUUGAUCUUAGUUGCCAUCAUUAAGUUGGGCACUCUAAGGUGACUGCCGGUGACAAACCGGAGGAAGGUGGGGAUGACGUCAAAUCAUCAUGCCCCUUAUGACCUGGGCUACACACGUGCUACAAUGGACGGUACAAAGAGCUGCAAGACCGCGAGGUGGAGCUAAUCUCAUAAAACCGUUCUCAGUUCGGAUUGUAGGCUGCAACUCGCCUACAUGAAGCUGGAAUCGCUAGUAAUCGCGGAUCAGCAUGCCGCGGUGAAUACGUUCCCGGGCCUUGUACACACCGCCCGUCACACCACGAGAGUUUGUAACACCCGAAGUCGGUGGGGUAACCUUUAUGGAGCCAGCCGCCUAAGGUGGGACAGAUGAUUGGGGUGAAGUCGUAACAAGGUAACCA
rnacentral:rRNA from 1 species